UACGUAGGGGGCUAGCGUUGUCCGGAAUCAUUGGGCGUAAAGAGCGUGUAGGCGGCUCGGUAAGUCCGCUGUAAAAGUCAAAGGCUCAACCUUUGAAUGUCAGUGGAUACUGCCGGGCUAGAGUCCGGAAGAGGCGAGUGGAACUCCUGGUGUAGCGGUGGAAUGCGCAGAUAUCAGGAAGAACACCGAUGGCGAAGGCAGGUCUCUGGGCCGCAACUGACGCUGAGGAGCGAAAGCAUGGGGAGCGAACAGG
rnacentral:rRNA from 1 species